rnacentral:lncRNA from 1 species
GAUGAUCGACAUCACAGAGAUCGUGAUAGAAACAGGGACAGGGACAGAUACCGGGAGAGAGAUCGUGGUAAUGAUCGGGAACGUGACCAUGACCGAGAGCUAACACGAGACCGCUAUCGUGGUCGUGAUCGGGAACGUCGUGGCCAUGAUCGUCAGAGUGAGAAGGAGAGGGACAGGGACAGGGACAGGGACAGGGAUUACGAAGAUGGUGAUGACCAUGAUCGAGGGCGUUCCCGUGAUGGAGAUUAUGACUAUGAUCAUACUGAUUCAAAACAUGAGCGAGACCGUAAUAUGAAAGAGAAAAAUGAUGAUCGCUCAGAAACAGAGGAUAACCAUGGGUGGCACGAACAGACUGAGUACAGAUA